AUGCUCCGAUCUCGUUGUCGGGAAAAACGGAUCCUCUAGCAGAAAAAAUCGGAUCUAUGUCCGAUCAGGCCAUCCAAACCCCCUUUGAACUCGUUUCUUGUAUUUUGCUCAAAACUUUUGAGAUCGGUCAGAGAUCCGUUCACGGACAAUUCUAAGUGAUCUUUAAAUAAUCGGACCCUGAUCCGUUCACGGAUUACUUCAGUGUAAAAUAGUAUUUUCCGCCAUUUGUUUUUAAUAGAAGAUCCGGUCACGAAAAAUUAUAUUUCAUAAACCGUUCUCGGUCGAAGUUUGUGUUGCCGAGUGGCGGAAGAGGGCAAACAAAAAUCAAAGGCUGCUGCAGCCUCUGCUGCAUUAUCAGAAGAAAAUUCUGUAAAAUGGGAUUUGGGGAAACGAUGGGAUUGCAUGAAUACAAUCGAGAAACUUCUACAAAAACUGAGUAAGAUGGGAGUUCACUCAGUUCGGAUAAUGGUGGCAGAGAAUCCCCAAAAAUCACCUGCAAGAAAAAUGUGUACUACAAGAGGGUUUAUCGAUCUUUGCCACAACAUGCCAGUUGGAAAAGCAUUUGCUUUGGAGUGCCUAAAAUUCACUCCAAAAUGGUCUAAUGAUUCAAAUUACAUGGGCAAAAGAAAAAGGCCUCAUUCAUCCAGCACGACAAAAACCAGUGCUGGUUCAUGUCCUAUUUCCAACAUGACAUUGACAACAUCAAGUUUAGAACUCCAAAUGGAAACCCACACAUCCGUAUGUGGUUCAAGUCAAAGUUGUGGUGAUGGGCUGCCCAACAUACUUACUGUCUCCGAUGACUUACGUUCUGAUUUACAAAUGCAAGAAAUCGGUCCAAGUUCAAGAAAUGGUCCAACUACUAGUUCCAACACAAUGUUUAGUUAUUGUUAUUGUUAGUUAGCAUAUUGUGUUGCUUCCUCGUUGCGUUCAUAAAAUUUCUGGUUUCCCCAUGUAUCGUGUUAGGUUCUUCAGGUUUAAUAGGCUGUUCGCAGUUUCUGCCUAUUUGUUUAAGCCAUGGCCUACUCUAGUAACGGCCUAUAGGCUGGCUAUCCCUGUGUUGCUGAAUGGAUCCAGCCUUUCCCAUCCCCUUUUCAUAGCCAGAGGGCCAAAAGUUAUCUUUAGAUGUUCCACUUUCCAAACCAUCUUUCCACCGUUUGGAAUUUUCAGACCAGAAGCAGUUACUACGACGUCGUCGUCAACAUGUUUCGGUUGGUCGUCAUGCCUUUUUCAUGUUAAGCACCACUCUGAAUGCUUUUAUUUCUGAUUUCCAUUUGUAGUUGUGCAGCACAAGUGACCCAUACUAGUUGCUGCUUGCUGCUUCGAGUCAUCAACAUGCAAAGUACCAGAUUGUCGAUUCCUUUUUCUAAUUAUAUACUGUUGUGAUACCAACUGCUUCAGAUCGAUUCUGAUUCUCACCGAUUCCAGCUUAUCAUUCAUUCAUGUUGGUAAAGAACCAGACUUUGGAUUCCGAUAUUGAGGGAUAAGAUUGGUAUUGUCCCUCACCUGCUUGAGGAAUAGUCGAACACCAAAUGUUGCUCUGAGCCAUUACAUUGGUUCGAAGAAGUCAGGUGCCUUAAUAGUGAGUGAAAGGAAGCCGAAACCUACGAAAGUGAGGGCCAAACAAAUCUUAAGCAUAUUGGAGAAAGAUAACCUAAAUAUUUUGGAAAGUCUUCAUCGUUCUCCGGGCCACGUUCCAUUCAUUCCGGAUGCGUUAUCUUGCGCGCACAUAACGGGAUAUGCCAUUCACAAGUUUGGACAGCUGGAAAAUUUUUGCAUCGACUGUUACUCAAAGUUAGUUACUCCUACAAGCAACGCAAGAUACCUGCGAUUUGUCAAACAUCUCGAUCGCGGUGGUUUAAAAUACCCAUGUGAGCCAGUGACGUAUCGUAUAUGGACGCUCUACCAGUUCUUCAGAAGAGUAUUUCCCCAAAUACGGACAUGCAGUAAACUUGUUGAUGAUCUCACUGAAUUUGCGGUACUGCGUUUAGCCAACUGUGAAGAAUUCCAAUGUUCUUCUAACGGGGAACACAGCAAAUUCUUGUGCACGUUUCUAUGCAAAAAAUUUUUUUUUGCUAUUUUGCGAACAGAGGAAAAAUGAUUUCGUGUACGACUUGAAAAAAAACCAAUUGUAUACAACAAACCGAAGAAAAGAAAGGUCAUGAAACUGCAAAAAUAGAACUCCGUAACACCUUUCAAAUCUUUUGAUUUAAUGUUAUCGUAGACAGUAACUCUUCAUGAAACUGCAAGCUGUGAAACCGUCACAAUGACCAUUAUAAAAUGGAAAUACAAUAGUGUGGUAACUCGCCUGUAACAUUA